rnacentral:rRNA from 1 species
GUUCAAGCAGCCGCGGUAAUACGUAGGGUGCAAGCGUUGUCCGGAAUUAUUGGGCGUAAAGAGCUCGUAGGCGGUCUGUCACGUCGGACGUGAAAAUCCAGGGCUCAACCCUGGACCUGCGUUCGAUACGGGCAGACUAGAGUUCGGUAGGGGAGACUGGAAUUCCUGGUGUAGCGGUGAAAUGCGCAGAUAUCAGGAGGAACACCGGUGGCGAAGGCGGGUCUCUGGGCCGAAACUGACGCUGAGGAGCGAAAGCGUGGGGAGCAAACAGGAUUAGAAACCCGCGUAGUCC